rnacentral:rRNA from 1 species
GCGAACGUCGGGGCAGAGUGCGCGGGAAUAGGGAGGGGGUAUGAGUUGUGCGGGUUCACCGGGCUUAGAGGGUGUUGAGGGGGUUUGGUAAGCCUUCUGUUGAAGCGUCGGGCCGAACCCGGAAAGCGCAGAGGGUACUGCCAGGCUAGAGGGUGGGAGAGGAGCGCGGAAUUCCCGGUGUAGCGGGGAAAUGCGUAGAGAUCGGGAGGAAGGCCGGUGGCGAAGGCGGCGCUCUGGAACACACCUGACGCUGAGACACGAAAGCGUGGGGAGCAAACAGGAUUAGAUACCCCUGUAGUC